ACCCAACUGACGAGUCCCAAAUAAGACGAGACAAACGUCCUGGAU
rfam:Schistosoma mansoni strain Puerto Rico chromosome W, complete genome